UCGCGGCACAAACAACAAAAUCUCAUUCUUAUCAUUUUAACGUUGCUCGUAACAAUGCAAAUACUUGUCAGUUAUAUUUUCUGUUAAUUUAUUUAAUCGGAGUAUACGGGAACGCGACCUAAUUUUGUUUACAAUAUUGAGUAAUAAACAGCUGAUCUAUUGACAUAUAAUCUGACAGAUAUUUGUUUGCAAUGUUUUGAAAUUUUUAUUUCGUCAUUAAAUAUAUAAUUAGAAUGUCUUAUAGUUGCUAAAAAAUUGUGAAUAACCAAGUAACUAUACAAAAAUUAAAAAGGACAACGCACUAAAAACUUAGCACAAUGAUUUCAAAAAUAGUAAAAAUGUAUUGUUAUUCACAAACCAAGUUUUGCUACAAAAAGAUAUUAUCAUGUGCGAAUUAUAGCACAUUAAAAAGUACCAACAAAAUCUUUACGGAUGCCAAAGAGGUGAUUGCUGAUAUUAAAGAUGGAUCAAAGCUUCUGGUCGGUGGAUUUGGAUUAUGUGGUAUUCCUGAGAAUUUAAUAAAAGCCCUGAACGCAAGUAAUGUGUCCAGGCUCACUGUGGUUUCUAACAAUGCUGGUGUUGACAAUUUCGGAUUGGGUCUUUUACUGAAAAGUAAACAGAUUAAACGAAUGAUUGCUUCCUAUGUUGGAGAAAAUGCUGAAUUUGAGAGACAGUUUUUAAAUGGGGAACUAGAGGUAGAGUUGACCCCACAAGGAACCUUAGCAGAAAAAAUUCGAGCGGGUGGUGCUGGAAUACCAGCUUUUUUUACACCAACAGGUUUUGGUACAUUAAUACAUGAAGGUGGAUCACCUAUUAAGUACACUAAAGAGGGAAAAAUUGAUAUACCUAGUACUGCUAGGAAAGAGCUACAGUUUGGUGGUAAUAACUAUAUAUUAGAAGAAUCUAUCACUGGUGACUUUGCUCUUAUAAAGGCUUGGAAAGCAGAUAAAUAUGGUAAUUUAAUAUUUAGAAAAAGUGCCAGAAACUUUAAUCCAGCUAUGUGUAAAGCUGCACGCAUAACCAUAGUUGAAGUAGAAGAAAUAGUUGAUGAAAUUGAACCUGAUUUUGUACAUGUACCCUCUAUAUAUGUACAUAGGAUUAUAAAAGGCGAAAAUUAUGAAAAGAGGAUUGAAAAAAGAACUUUAACUAAACCAGCAAUACAAAAAGAGAAAAAAGCAUCAGAUGUAAUACGAGAAAGAAUAAUUAAGAGAGCAGCUUUAGAAUUCAAAGACGGAAUGCAUGCAAAUCUAGGAAUAGGAAUGCCUAUGCUAGCCAGUAAUUAUAUUCCAAAGAAUGUAAAUGUACUGUUACAAUCAGAGAAUGGAAUUCUCGGUCUCGGACCAUUUCCAUCAGAGCAAGAGGUCGAUGCUGAUCUCAUCAAUGCUGGAAAAGAAACUGUGACAGUCCUUCCUGGAGCAUCAUUCUUUUCGUCCGAUGAUAGCUUUGCAAUGAUACGAGGUGGGCAUAUUGAUUUGACUAUUUUGGGUGCUAUGCAAGUUUCUCAGUACGGCGAUUUAGCUAAUUGGAUGAUACCUGGUAAAAUGGUAAAGGGAAUGGGUGGUGCCAUGGACUUGGUUUCUGCCCCAAGAACAAAAGUUGUAGUUACCAUGGAACAUGCUGCUAAAAAUGGCGGCCAUAAAAUUGUACCCGAAUGUACAUUGCCGCUCACUGGAAAAAACUGUGUUGAUAUGAUCAUAACAGAAAAGUGCGUGUUUUUAGUGGAUAAGGAGAAAGGUCUAACGCUAUCUGAACUCGCUGAUGGCGUUACUGUAGAAGACGUGUUGGUGAGCACCGGCAGCGAAUUCAACGUCUCACCUAAUUUAAAGAAAAUGGGCGAUGUGACCCGUCCAGAGACGUUUGUCGAAUGAUAAUGCAAACAACAUUUGAUUGGAUGUAAUUUCUGAACAUAGACUGAUUUAUUCUUGACCAGAAAAAAAUUAACAAUGGAUACCUAUCCUAAAUAUAAAGCGGAAAAUUCUGGGGACUGGAAUGCUCAUAAGACCACAAGGGCAGAAGAUAUACCUUAAGACCUUAGAUUCAGUAUACGUCCGGUGAUUUAAUAUUUUUAUUAUGCAAGUAGGUUGAUUUCAUAUUAUACACAUUGUCAUUUUUAUUCAUUAGUUGUCAGAAGCGACGUCUAUUUAUAAUAGUUUAAUUGUAUUGGGUAAUUACUAAUUAAACAUACAAUGAAAGACAAGGAACAAAAUCAUUCUAUCGUCAUAUGGGGUUCAUGUUUUUUGUGGUUAACAUCCAUUUUUGCUAUAAUAUGGUCUUUACUCUUGUUUUUUUGCGUUGGAGACAUGCUAUGGAUAACUGGUACAGAUUUGAUCAACGCGUUUCUACUACUUUCAGGAAUCAUAAUGCUUCCUACUAAUAUUCACUUGUUGUAUUCUAUUGCCAAUGGAAAAAAAAUUGAGUGUAGUUUAUUUUUAUAAUUGAUAAAUUUCUUUUUAUUUGCAAAAUACGUAUCAUGUUUGUUAAUACAUGUAUGUAGAUACAAUACUUAUUUACAUAUUUAAUAGACACGGAGAGUGACUAUAUUUCUUUUAAUAACAUACUUCACUCCUAUUUCGAAAGGUUUAGUUUUAUAAUAAUUAAAUCUACUACCUCCGUCAUAUAC